GAGGCCGCAUUUUUUCAGGUGCUGUUUUAGCCAUUGGUCAUCCUGCCAAUCGCAAACAACAGUGAAACGGGAAUCUGGUUCGAAGCCAGAGCUGCCCCCGCAACGGUAACACUCAUCAUGAACUUCAUGAUGGAGAUCGCUCAACCACUGUCAGUCGAUGGGAAGGUGCGAUCUUGGUCAAACUGAAAAGUUUGACAGUGCAGCCCGGAGACCGGCCUGAGAAGUUCAUUCACUC
rnacentral:ncRNA from 16 species